GUACAAGAGAUCCCAGGAAUACUGACUUGAUGAAAAAGUCACAUCAGAGCACUCAGUUUGGCAGAGCUUUUCUGCCGAAUGUUUACUCACAUUCACUGUCCCAGAUUCUAUACUGGGGGUACACACGUCCUCUGCCCUAAGGCAAUUUUGAGUCCAAGAGACAUUUUGAGGCCUAAAAAUCAUAGGAAACUGCCCCUGAGCUCACACAUAUUUCCAAUGGUGUCCCCAAUUUCAGGGAAUCCAUGGAUUACCUAAGCCAGCCCCUCCAGUUCGGCUAAGAAACUCUAGUCUAUAUAUCAAGUUUUGUAUCAUAUGUAUUGCUCUGAACUCAGAAAUUUCCCUUCCAUUUAUGGAUUCUAUGAAUAAAAUAUCACAUGUAC
rnacentral:lncRNA from 1 species